GCACUCGUGGUGAAAUAGGUAGACACAAGAGACUUAAAAUCUCUCGGGCAUUUAACGCCCGUGCCGGUUCGAUUCCGGCCGAGUGCACCA
rnacentral:tRNA from 1 species